rnacentral:rRNA from 1 species
AUUGAACGCUGGAGGCGUGCUUAACACAUGCAAGUCGUGCGAGAAAGGGACUUCGGUCCUGAGUAGAGCGGCGCACGGGUGAGUAACGCGUGGGUGAUCUCCCUUGGUGAUCGGGAUAACAGUGGGAAACUGCUGCUAAUACCGGAUAAUCUUCAUGUUUAACUUCAUGGGGUAAAGGUGGCCUCUGCUUGCAAGCUACCACAUCAAGAUGAGCCCGCGUCUCAUUAGCUAGUUGGUAGGGUAAUGGCCUACCAAGGCUACGAUGAGUAGCUGGUCUGAGAGGAUGACCAGCCACACUGGGACUGGAACACGGCCCAGACUCCUACGGGAGGCAGCAGUGGGGAAUAUUGCGCAAUGGGCGAAAGCCUGACGCAGCGACGCCUCGUGAGGGAUGAAGCNNCUUCGGAUCGUAAACCUCUGUCAAGAGGGAAGAAACCCUUGGAUUCGAAUAGGGUCCUUGGCUGACGGUACCUCAAAAGGAAGCACCGGCUAA